rnacentral:lncRNA from 1 species
CCUCCGUACAUGCCCGAACCACCUCAGCCUCGCUUCCCGCAUCUUCUCGUCCACUGGGGCCACCUCUACCUUCUGUCGAAUAACUUCAUUCCUAAUUAUUUUAUGGCUUCAGAACUCAGGAUCUGAGUCUUCUUCCUUCGUCACUUCUUUGGCUUUUGCUAUAUAGUUUCUGCGAGUAACUGAAAUCCCAUUAACCUCGGGCGAAGUUGAAACUUUUACUAGAAAUUAUGAACAUGGAUAUAGUAGAGAACAUUUAAUGAUAGGAAUAUGACAAAUUAAUGUACUAGCUAGUUGUAUGUACAAAAGUUUCUUCAUCCGUGGAAGAUCCAUUAUUUUAUGUGUUGCAAAACCUGGGCAUCUUAGGGCCUUUCCUAUAAUUGAUUGACAUCAAAUAAAAAUGUCUGUCUGCUAUGUUAUUAUAGUAAGAAACGAAGGGAUAAUAUAUUUCCUGAAGUACUUUUAUUCAUUGAGUUAAAAGAUAGUUAUUUGAGGAUAAUUUUUUAGAAGAGUACUAUGGUUCGAGAAUUGGGAACAUUAGCCUACGAGGACGCUCCAAAUCUCCACUCCAUUUCUUUCCAUUAUCCCGAAGCUAAGAAAGCCUAAUCUUUGAGACCUCUUUCUAAUAUUAGCUAGAUAGCUUCUUCUCAUUAUAUAUACAAUACAUGCCCAAAUGAAAUCCGCUGAUCAUUCUUAUUAUAUUUGCUUAACAAGUAGAACAGGUAGAAUUAUAUGCUUGAAAGAUGGUUGUUCAUACAUUAAUAAAAUCUUGAAAGUGUGAUCCUUAAUCGAGAAGAAAUUAAGCAACCCCCACUUCCAACCGAGAGGUUGUGAGUUCGAGUCUUCCCAAGAGCAAUGGAGGAAGUUCUUGGAGAGAAGGAUGCCGGGGUCUAUUUGGAAACAGCCUCUCUACCCAAGGGUAGGGGUAAGGUCUGCGUACAUACUACCCUCCCCAGACCCCACUANNNNNNNNNNNNNNNNNNNNNNNNNNNNNNNNNNNNNNNNNNNNNNNNNNNNNNNNNNNNNNNNNNNNNNNNNNNNNNNNNNNNNNNNNNNNNNNNNNNNNNNNNNNNNNNNNNNNNNNNNNNGGGAAGGAUGUCGGGGGUCUAUUUGGAAACAGUCUCUCUACCCAAGGGUAGGGGUAAGGUCUGCGUACAUAUUACCCUCCCAGACCCCACUAAGUGGGAUUAUACUGGGUUGUUGUUGUUGUUGUUAAGUGAUACAAUUUCCAUAUUGCCCGGGUAUUGAGGGCAGAAUUGGAAGAUGGGCCUAUAUUGAUUUUCUAGUUGAUUCCCUUAUAUCUUCCUUGGGAAGGUUCUUCUUAGCCCUAGCUUGAUCGAGAGAGACGUAAGCUUGGUAUUAUGCCUUGGAUUGUAACAUAUGUUUGAUAUCGGGCAAAUGAAUGAAUAGUUAUUGAUGUAUGUAAAGUACAAUAAUGAAUCAUUUAGGUUCCACACGAGAAACCUGUAAGAGUGCAACUUAGAUUUUAUUUAGUUAGUUUUUGCAUAAUUUCUUGAAGGGAAUCAUGUGAUGGUGUUCAGAAUAAAAAAGUAUCAAACAAAAUGGAUCUCUUAGUUAAUUUUAUCAUAAAGUACUCAUACAUCUAACAAUUGUAGUCUAGAGUUCUAGAGCAUAUAAGCUCCAUAUAUGAUAUGGUUUUAGGUUCUUAGUAUUAAUUGUUAAUUUUUUAAAUUAUUCUUUUUUUAACACUUUACAUAGCUUUUCAUCCACUUGACAACUAGUUCUCCAAAAGUAGGAAAUAUGUAGUUUAAAAUUUCUUAGCACUUACCAUAUGAUUUGGCCCAUCUUAUUUCUAUCUUGCAUGUGAAAAUAUUGUUUAGUGAGACAAUGUGGUCAUGUCAAUAGCAUGCAUACCAAAAGAUUGAUAGAUAGUAACUAUCUACCUUUUUUUAGUGGAACCUUGUUUCCAUAUUGAAAUUUUAGUAUAAAAGGUGGAUUCAGACAUAAGCUUGAUUUUCCAUUUUUGUCGUCUUCACAUUUUUGCGGCCGAAAGACUAAUAAAAUAUGGCAAGACAAACAUUUUCGUCAAAACGGAAUGAUAAUGCAUUUGGCCAACCAUCAGUGAAAUGUGUACUGAAGAUCAACAAGGAAGCUCGUUAGUGUCAACUAUUGAACUUGUAAGUCGAAGAUAAUUCUACCAAACCGCUUCUUAGAAGGACAUUUGAAAAGAACGUAGUGAAUGACAUAACCUUUUAGCAUGUGGUACAAUGUAUCAUAGUAAUAAUUCCUCGUACGAACUUGAAUUGAUCUCAUACAGUUGGAGACAUAUCAGAGACGUGUGUGCUAUCUAUGCAUUUAUAUUCGGUCGUACGAUGUGUCAAUCAUUUAUUUGAAAUUCAAAAAUGUCAUCACAUGUACAAUACGAGUAAAGUACCACAAGUAAGCAUAGAAAAUGGUCGUAUAUGACGUGCGAGUGAAAAUAUUUAUGAGAGCCGAGAAUAAUCAUAAGUUUUCCCUUAGUGUAUUGUUACUUAUGUAGGUAAUGAGUUUCACUCCAAGCAAUAUUUUACACUUUGCUUUCAUAUUGUUAAUCAUAUUUGCACGACCCAAUACGUGGGUGGAGGGGACGCCAAGUGCCUCUGUCCUCUCAUCCCAGCUUCGAUGAAGCAUGGUUUUUGCCUUUUGAGCUAUUUUUAGUGCAAGCAUUUUCAAGGUAGAAUGUGUUAUAUUGUGGUUUGUAGUGGAAUCUGGGUAUGCAGUGUCUGAAACGAUAUAUAUUAAAAAAGUAAGGUAAAGGGGCAAACGUUCGACAACAUUGUUAUUUGAGUGAAGUUUCCAUAGGAGUUGAAUCUUAAAGCAAGCAAGGCUUCAAUAUUGACUGUCUUUGACACGUGCUUUAGACGUGCUUCGCACAACGAUGAUUCUUCGAAGGUAAGAAGAAUUAGGAUCAGAAUAUUUAAAAGGUUAAGUGAUAUAUCUCCGAGUGACUAUCUAUGUAGAACGAAUGUUGGCGAUGACAACACUUCGCCUUUGUUAUUCACUCAAUCAUAUAAGCAAUUAACAUUUUUUGUCUUCAGUUAAGUGUAACAUUCUUCCAACAACAUCAUAAUUUUGUGGAUUCCACGAAGGUCGUAAGAUAGCCAAAGUUUAGCCAUGCGAAAGGAGAGGACCGAAGGAUGCCUUAACACAGGGCAUGUCAAGGAAUGGGCACAUGGAUACACACGAGGUCAAGGCAUAUGCGGAAGCAAGACUCCAAGAAAGAGUGUGGGGCUUACUUGGUGCCUAACGCGUAAGGAAGGCAUGGCGCAUGUGAAUGGUGGAUGAGCAUUCGAGCAUCCGAGCUUUUUGAGGCGUGGAAAAUCAUUAUAGCAAAUGUAGAGUCUUGGUGAUUUAUUAGAGUUGUGGGAGCAUAAUGAGCAUGUGAAUAAUGCCAAAUACAAUGUAUGUCACUAUGGAACAUGGUAGAGAGUUCUAGAAGGAUCUAGAGGUUGAUGGAACAUAAUGUCAGUCUAAAAGACUUCAUGUUAAGUUGGCCAAAGGUCUACUAACAAAGUUGCACAAGCCAGCAAGUUACAUAAGAUUUUAGAAAAGCCUACGAGUAGUAUAAAAUAGGGUUUUGAGUCUGGUGAUGAUAGACAUUAAAUAGUUUCUAUCUGCAACUAUUAAGUGCUCUUAAACUCUUUGAGCGAGCCUAUAAACGACAAUUUACUUUUCAACCAUGUGAGUGUUUAUAGCUUUGUGUGAUAAAUCGGGCGGGCAUCCCCGUCAUUCCCCAAUAUUCUUGCCUUUUUUUUGAAGUGCAAGUGUUGUUGGCUAGUUAAACACCAUAACUGUUCUGAUGGUGAUUUCUGUCGCUCCUAAGACAUACUUGGAUACUUAUUGAGGCUUUCACAAAGGUCAAGGCACCACUAUGGAAGGUUGAACUUUGCAUCUAUGAAUAAGAUAGUAGGGCUAAGUGCUAAGAAGCAAGUAAAUGAUUAGGUCGACGCCAAAGUGAUAUCAGAGCAUGCAUACAUGAUAGAAAAUGUGAAGCCAAGGGUUCAUCUAGUGUAGAUUGGCAUUGUUGUGGGAGUACGCACCGGUACUAAGGGAGUAUCAUGCACUCAUGGUGAGAUAUUUUGGCAAGUCACAAAAACAUGUUAGUGUGGUGCAUGGGCACGAGGAGGUGUUCAUUGAGAAAAUAAAGAAUGAGCAGAGUCGAGCAAGAAAAGAAGGUUGUUUCCAUGAGGAGAUGGAGAUUGAAAACAAUUAAUAGAUGAGGCGACAGGCCACCACCACAUGAUACUCCCAAAAAUUGCCUUGUUGGACAUAGGCAAGUUAGCCAUAAAGGAAGGCUAGAGAGAGUAGAAAGUGCCUUAUUCAUGCCUGAGUCUCAUGCAUUGGUGGGGAUUGAUGGCCUUGAAUGUUAAGUAUAAAUGAGAUGCUCAUUGUGAAUGACGGUCGCAAUGAGGUCAUGCAUGCCUUAGAGGCUAAUAUGAUCAUGGGUGAAUGCGCCAUGGCUUGCGAUAUCAAUUCAUUAGAAAUAACCAAACUACCCUUAGGAACUUGUGUCAUGACGUCAUUAGCUCUAGAUGGUAUCAAAAUACAAAUAUUUGAAUAAUAUAUCACUAUCUCACACAAUUGAAAUAGUAAUUUCGAAAGUGACUUUCUUGCAUUGUUGUCGAACAAACAACUUUACCUAGAGUCUCCAAUAGGUUUCACCGGUGUCAGGCUAAG